rnacentral:rRNA from 1 species
UACGUAGGGGGCAAGCGUUGUCCGGAUUUAUUGGGCGUAAAGAGCGUGUAGGCGGUUUUACAAGUCCGCUGUGAAAACCCGAGGCUCAACCUCGAGCUGUCGGUGGAAACUGUAAGGCUAGAGUCCGGAAGAGGAGAGUGGAAUUCCUGGUGUAGCGGUGAAAUGCGCAGAUAUCAGGAAGAACACCCGUGGCGAAGGCGGCUCUCUGGGACGGUACUGACGCUGAGACGCGAAAGCGUGGGGAGCGAACAGG